rnacentral:rRNA from 1 species
AUACGUAGGUGACAAGCGUUAUCCGGAUUUACUGGGUGUAAAGGGCGUGUAGGCGGUUUAGCAAGUCAGAAGUGAAAUUCCCGGGCUUAACUUGGGCGCUGCUUCUGAAACUGCUUUACUUGAGUGCUGGAGAGGAUAGUGGAAUUCCUAGUGCAGCGGUAAAAUGCGCAGAUAUUAGGAGGAACACCGGUGGCGAAGGCGGCUAUCUGGACAGUAACUGACGCUGAGGCGCGAAAGCACGGGGAGCAAACAGGAUUAGAUACCCUGGUAGUCCGUGCCGUAAACGAUGAAUACUAGGUGUAGGGGGUAUCGACUCCCUCUGUGCCGCAGUUAACACAUUAAGUAUUCCACCUGGGGAGUACGGCCGCAAGGUUGAAACUCAAAGGAAUUGACGGGG